AAGAGAUCUUCACUUCUUCUAUAUAACAUUUAAAACUUUCCAUGGCGAAAUAUUAGCAGUACCAAGAUUAAAUAUCUUUGGCAAUAAAUCCUAGAGCAACCUAACUAAGAGGUCCAUUUACCUGGCUCAUGUUAUUUGGCACAAAAUUUAGCUCAGUAAUACAAAUAUAUACCCUAGUACCUCAUCAUAUAAUAAAGGGCACUACAAACAAACCUAUGGAAGUGAUAUAUUUUCAAGACGGGGGUCAAUGAAAAUGGGGGAAACAUGUUU
rnacentral:misc_RNA from 1 species